UCAAAUAUUAUUUUUGGUCUUCUCGUGCUGUUAAAAUGUUGAUAUACUCUUGAGCUAAUUUAAUUGCUCUUUCAAGGACAUCAUUAAUUACUUGUAAAUUGUUAACAAUUCGUAAGUAAAUUCGGAUUCCUUACAACUUUUUGAAAAAUUCAACAUUGAUAAAAAUUUUUUGAAAUUAGAUGUUGAAACGUGGGCGAGCAAUAACGACUAUUUAGAAGGCUUACGAAUUGUUAAUAAUUUGAAAAUGAGUACAAAACAAAAAAUAUCCUAAUGCGAUCAAAACUAGCUUAGCAAAAAAAUUAUAAAGAAAACAAGAAUGAUAAUAAAUCUGCUUAUAAUAUUAUAGACAAAGAAAUUUUUACAUUUUUGUUUCACCACUUUCCAUUAAUUCAUUUUUAAGUUCGUCUGUAUAAGGAAAGGCCAUGAAAUCUACAUAAAUGAUCAUCGGUACUCUAGCGAUAAUAAUAUCUUUUAUUUCAACGAUUUUAUAGCCAAAAAAGUUUUACAGAUUCCCAUUUUAAGAAAUGUCCCUGGUAGGAAGAAACCAUUGGAUAAGGCUCGGACCAGACCUCGGACAGACGCCAGCCAAUGCUGCCAAGCCCUGGUGUGAGCCUGGGUCGAACCGUUGGGUGAGCCUUGGUUCAAGCCUUGGAUGAUGGCCAUGUUCCGAGCCUUGGGAAACAAAAAAUCGAGGCUUAAGUCUAGCCUCCGGUAACAAAAAAUCGAGGCUUGAGCCAAGCGUUGGGAAAAAAAGAACCAGGCUUGGGUCGAGCCUCGAGGAACGUACGAAUCAGAUCUGGACCGAGCCUUAGAGAACCAAAAACUUAGGCUCGGACCGGACUUUGAAAUACAAAAAAUUAAAACUGGUCCUAGCCUCGAAAAACCAAAAAUCGUGCUCAGAUCAAGCCUCGAAAUACAAUGGAUGAACACUGGAUGUCGAAUAUUUAUGAAAUAUAUUGAAAAUGCGUAAUUGAUUGACUAAUAUUAAUUUUUUUAACGUUUAAUUUUACAUUAUGACUUAUAUUUUUAUAUUUUAUUAGUAAAAUAAUUAUUACUCAAAAUCAUGCUGCUUUAUAUUUUGAACGAAUAUAAAUAAUGUAAAUCACAAUCAAUAUAUUAGUAACCCUUAACGGCCACACCUCCCUCAGGCCUCAUAACGGCCACAUGGGGUAACUCAUUACCCCACGCUGAAAAACCCGGCCAGACAAGAUGUGUAAAUGUUUUUGAGACUUUUAACUAAUUGGCUCAUGUUCGUUGACGAGUUCUUCAAUAUUUCUAAUGGUUUAACUUGGUUAAUUUAUAUAUGACGUUCUAAAAACUGGUCAUAUCGGUCAAAAUUCUGAAAAAAUGGCUUUUUUUCAAAAAAAUUCACUACUCCGCCAUUUUGCAAUAUUAAC